UAACCUGCCUCUUAGCGGGGGAUAACUAUUGGAAACGAUAGCUAAUACCGCAUAAAAGUCGACAUCGCAUGAUGUUGACUUGAAAGGUGCAAUUGCAUCGCUAAGAGAUGGACCUGCGUUGUAUUAGCUAGUUGGUGAGGUAACGGCUCACCAAGGCGACGAUACAUAGCCGACCUGAGAGGGUGAUCGGCCACACUGGGACUGAGACACGGCCCAG
rnacentral:rRNA from 1 species